CCCUUAGAUGUUCUGGGCCGCACGCGUGCUACACUGAGUGGAUCAGCGGGUCAGGUUGCGCGAAAGCGUUUCCUAAUCUUUAAAUCCGCUCGUGAUGGGGAUUGACGGUUGCAAUUUUCUGUCAUGAACGAGGAAUACCUUGUAAGCGCGGGUCAUCAUCCCGCGCUGAAUACGUCCCUGCCCUUUGUACACACCGCCCGUCGCUCCUACCGAUUGAAUGGUUUAGUGAGAUCUCUGGAUUGACGCUGGCUAGGGGGCGACCCUUGGCCAGACUGCUCGAGAAACUGCUCAAACUUGAUCAUUUAGAGGAAGUAAAAGUCGUAACA
rnacentral:rRNA from 1 species